AACCCCAAAAACGCUAUUGCGACCAUGGGCCACCAUACACGUGACUUUUUUAAACAAAGGACGCUUAAAUUGGUCUACGGCAUGAUAAAGCAUUUUAAAUUCACUCGAAAAUACUCCAAUCACAAAAAGUCUAAUCUAUAAAAGUACAAGACGAUAAUUCGAUGAUUAUGAUUAGGCCAGUCACGUGUUAAUUUGACCGUGAUGUGUAUAUCAGAGAUAUACUGUACAGGUAGUGGUAAAAACUAUGUGUAGUGCCUGUGACGUCACAAGCCAAUCAACCAGAUUAAGGUCGUAAUUGAAAAAUUGAAAAGCGUUUUUGCGUGUCGGAUACUCAAACGUUAAUAGCCGAAUUAAUUUUAAUCAGAUUGGCGUGAACUUGCCGUAAAGUGGAUAUAGUGACUAUUGGCUACACGUAGCCUAGCGAAAAAAAAAUUUGGCCAUCUUAUGUGGUCUUUAAAUCGGAUAAAAGUUGUGACCUAGAGGGACAAACAAGGGGAAUAAUUCAGGAAGUUAAUAUCUGAUAUGCGCGAAUAUCAAAAGGAACCAAGAUCUUUAUGGGUUAUUAACAGGUAUUUCAAGAUUUUUAUCAAAAUCAGAUUAAAAUUGUGACCUCUCACCCGAUGCAACUGAGGUACACCCUAUUCAAUAAGCCUCUAUGAUUCAGUUCCACCCGGUUCAACAGGGGGUAUAUUAUAAUAUAAUAAUAUUGAGGUUGGUCGAUUAAGUAGGGUAGAAUAAUAAUACCAUAGCCUUAUGUACAUACACGCAUUAGCCAAUCAGAUUUCGUGUCUACGUCUUCAGAGUCUAAUGACGUAGGCUGGUAGUUUUAGGCGCGAUACAUCUUGGACCAGAUUAUUAGAGGAGUACUGGGCCCUGUUUCUCGAAAUUUUAACUAAAGAUAAAAUCCAAUUUUAUUAGAUACUUCAAUUUUGAUUGGCUAAGCACUAAAAUCAAUCUAAUAUUAUACAAUCAAAUUACUAAAAUUUGGAUUUUAUCUUAGUUAAAAUUUCGUGAAACAGGCCCCAGUACGAAUUUACCUUUACGAUGUCGACGACGAAACAGGUUUCUUCCACCCCUACACUGCCACAGUAAGAGGUAAGAUUCUAAAUACUUUGCACAGGUCCAGAUUCUAAAAUAGAAUGGAAUAGACUUGACUAGGUCGUAACUAGGCUAGCCUCCUCAACUACGGUAGGCCUUUAUUUUCAUUUUUAACUAGGCUAGCCUAGAUUUUAUUUCUAGAUUUAGCCUAGUGCCUUGCCUUCUUUGGCCUCAAAUCCUAGAUUAUAAAUCGGCUAGACCUUGUGACUGUGUACUUGGGCCUAGUCUGUUUGAUUCAUGUUUUCAUAUUACAAUUCAGACAAUUGCCAAGGCCUUGUUGACGUUGUGACUGGCUGAGGGCCGUAGGGCCACAAGGGCUAGGCCCAGUUCUUAAAAUGUACGAACUUUACCACGAUGUACAGCAAUAAUGGAUUAGCAGAUUAUGCAUGCAUAUUACAUUUUUAAAAUAUUGCGCUGGGUUUUCAUUUUAUCAAUUUGACAAGACUGCUAUGCCGGUAGUCGAUCCAAGGGUGGUAGCGAGUGCGCCCUCGUACCUCGUUUUGAAUUUAAAAAUAAAACUGACCUUGAACUAGAAAAAAAGGCUUAGGCCCAAGAAGCUUCGGUUAGAUCUAAAUAUUAAGCCCACCUGCAAUUUUCGUCAAGGUCACGAGAUGUAAACAGGGCUAGCGCUAACCCUAGACCUAACCCUAACCCACAUUCCCCAGGAACAAAUUAAAUCACGUUCUCUCUAGGGCUUAAGCCUGUGGUGUUUACAUCUCAUUACCAUGACGAAACCUAUCGGUGGCCUUGAUAUUUAGUAAUUUACACCGGGGGUCACGGUGACUACGUGGGUAAGACGCUGGCUCGCUAGCCUGGAGGUCGGGUGUUCGAUCCCUGCAUUGGCCGAGAAAGUCCAUCCCGAUUUUCCGGUGUGGUUACCCUUGUCAGUGAUGCAGGACGGAGGGCCUGGCAAGGACAGCUGUCUAGUCGUUCGGAUGGAACGGACAACCGAGGUCCCGUGUACACAUUGGCGUGCACGUAAAAGAUCCCUUGACAGAGUAGGCCAUAGUGCCGCUGUCUGGGGAAAAUUUCCCUCAUAGCACACUGUAUGGCGUAUGCCCGUCUUCAUUAGCCCAGUUAGGAGCAGAACAGUAGGACGUUAAACCCCAUUUCAUUUCAUUUCAUUUCCUACGUUCCAUAGGCCUAUGCGUGAGUAUUUGCUCUACAGAAGCGGCAAUAUCGGUCUCAAUGCGAAGAAUACAGUCGAAUUCGGUUAGAUUAUAGAUAAUUUUAAAUUAAAAGGGAACGGACAUGGUACCACUUUUACGUUUUCAUUUCACAGAUCAACACAGCAGCUCACUGGUUUUGAAAUUAAUAUUUAAUAAUAAUAAUAAUAUAAGAUAUAGUUUUCUUUCAAACGAGUCCCUGUAAAUUUAAAUACUUCGACUCUUCGAGAGUUUCUUUAAAAAUAAAACGGCUCUUUAAUGUCGUAGGGGGUGUACACAAUGAAGACAUUUCUAUAGCUGACAUACAUUUAUUAUAUUUUCCAGAUACAUCUAUUUAUUCCUAAAUCAAGAACAUGCUUCUUUCUUAGAAGUUUUGGGAGUUCUCUCCCCUUGAUUCCCAAAAAGGGAAAAUACUCUCAUUUACAGCUAACAUACGGACUAAGACUAGUAAUUAUUUCCCCUUAUUUCAUGAUGGACGAAUGUAGUGCGAGUUAUAAAUAGACAAUUUUUCCCUUAAUUUUUUUCUCCCCUCUUCCUGCAUUUUUGGGUUGACUUUUUGGUCUAGAAUUGGAGAAAAGGGAUCAAAUUUGCAAUUUCAUAGCAGUUUUGGGUAAUACUGAUGAUAUUACAGCGGAGGGAUAGGGGGUGUAAAGUGUCUUUCUGCAGAGCAAUCAUUGUGUCGGAAGUGAGAUUUCCACCCCUGUCAACUUCAAAUCUGUGUAGCAAAAAAUCUAAAUGGUCAACCCCCUACAAAAUUAUGAUGAGGAGAUUGCCAAAUGUUGUCCCCAUUGUGCCUAUAAAGAUUGGAACCAACGGAAUGUUGAGCAAAAAGCUACAGCCUGUGAUGUUACAGUCAUUUAACAUUGAAGUCAAUGGGCAAAUAAUUGCUAGUCUGAGUCCUGAUGAAAUAAUGAAGCAUGGCCGACUCGGGAUGUUGAUAUUUUUUCAACGGCUUGUUUCCUGAAGUUUUGAAUGGAAAGUGUCAGAAAUGGUGCCCAGGUAAUGUUUCAUAGAGUGGAAUGAUUGACCUCAACACAAGUAUUAAAAAAAAAAGAAGCAAAACAGGUCUACAUCUCAAAACCUGAUCUCUUCCUGAACUGGCUUUAGGAGAACGAUGAUGCAUAUCAAUUUCAUCCCUGAUCUCUAUGACACCUGUGGUGGAAGUGGAGGGCAAAUCGUAAUCAGUUUGGGUUCCAGCCCCGAGGACCUUUGUAAACUUUGCUUUUUGGUGAUGACUUAAUUUCCGAGCUUGAAAAGGACGCUUGUGUGUUUAUCAUGGCCUCUCAUAUUGGAAGAUAACAUUAAUGGCUUGUGUGUUGAUCGACGGUUGUGCAUAUCUCUUGGUCAGGAAAGUUGUAGGCACCAUCGCCAUUGUAAAUCAUUUGACAGGCCCGAGUGAACGGGGCGACCUAUGAUUGGUCAGCAAUGUAUCAGAUUCCAUACCGGGGGGUGGGGAUGAAAAAACUGUUGUAGUGUUACAUAAUCAGAUUAUUUCAACUUACUUAUCCUGUGGAAAUACAGCUAUAUAGGAGAUAUUUUGAAAUUCAUAGGCACUGCAUGUUUCAACAUUUUAGAUUUGACCACAAUUUGGCACUUGAAACUAUGUUAACAGAGAAAAACUGUGUGGUUUUCGAUGAAAGUGUUAAAAGUCUAAUAUUGCAUCAUGAUUACUGUUUUAAAGUAUUUUCGUGUUUGAUUUAUAUUGAAUUCAUCUCAUCUUUUUGAAGAAUGCAUUUAUGUUCAAAAAUAAAAAUGUUCUGUGGAAUUCAAAAUUGAUGUGCUUUUAAAUUAUCAGAUUCCAAACUGGGGGUGGGGAUGAAAAAGCUGUUGUAGUGUUACAUAAUCAGAUUAUUUCAACUUACUUAUCCUAUGGAAAUACAGCUAUAUAGGAGAUAUUUUAAAAUUGAUAGGCACUGCAUGUUUCAACAUUUUAGAUUUGACCACAAUUUGGCACUUGAAACUACGUUAACAGAGAAAAACUGUGUGGUUUUCGAUGAAAGUGUUAAAAAGUCUAAUAUUGCAUCAUGAUUACUGUUUUAAAGUAUUUUCGUGUUAGAUUUAUAUUGAAUUUAUCUCAUCUUUUUACAGAAUGCAUUUAUGUUCAA